AUUGAACGCUGGCGGCAGGCCUAACACAUGCAAGUCGAGCGGAUGAAGGGAGCUUGCUCCUGGAUUCAGCGGCGGACGGGUGAGUAAUGCCUAGGAAUCUGCCUGGUAGUGGGGGAUAACGUCCGGAAACGGGCGCUAAUACCGCAUACGUCCUGAGGGAGAAAGUGGGGGAUCUUCGGACCUCACGCUAUCAGAUGAGCCUAGGUCGGAUUAGCUAGUUGGUGGGGUAAAGGCCUACCAAGGCGACGAUCCGUAACUGGUCUGAGAGGAUGAUCAGUCACACUGGAACUGAGACACGGUCCAGACUCCUACGGGAGGCAGCAGUGGGGAAUAUUGGACAAUGGGCGAAAGCCUGAUCCAGCCGUGCCGCGUGUGUGAAGAAGGUCUUCGGAUUGUAAAGCACUUUAAGUUGGGAGGAAGGGCAGUAAGUUAAUACCUUGAUGUUUUGACGUUACCAACAGAAUAAGCACCGGCUAACUUCGUG
rnacentral:rRNA from 1 species